UCUUAUAUUCAUGAAAACAUAAUAGGUUCACAUAUGAAAUCAUGGCACUCGGGCCCUAGUGACAAGCAUUAAGCAUAGCAAAGUCAUAGCAACAUCAAUCCCCGAAUAUAGUGGAUACUAGGGAUUAAACCCUAUCAAAUUAACUCGAUUUCAUGAUCAAUUUCAUCCACACCCAUCACCGACCAACAAGCCUACAAAGUAAUUACUCACUCCUAGUGUUGAGCAUCAUGGGAUAGUUGAUGGAGAAGGUUUGGUGAUGACGACGACGAAGAAUCCCAAUCUCCGGAGCCCCAAACAGACUCC
rnacentral:lncRNA from 1 species